rnacentral:tRNA from 1 species
UUCCUCGUGGCCCAAUGGUCACGGCGUCUGGCUACGAACCAGAAGAUUCCAGGUUCAAGUCUUGGCGGGGAAG